UAACGCGAAGAACCUUACCAAGGCUUGACAUACACCGGAAACGGCCAGAGAUGGUCGCCCCCUUGUGGUCGGUGUACAGGUGGUGCAUGGUUGUCGUCAGCUCGUGUCGUGAGAUGUUGGGUUAAGUCCCGCAACGAGCGCAACCCUCGUUCUAUGUUGCCAGCGCGUUAUGGCGGGGACUCAUAGGAGACUGCCGGGGUCAACUCGGAGGAAGGUGGGGAUGACGUCAAAUCAUCAUGCCCCUUAUGUCUUGGGCUUCACGCAUGCUACAAUGGCCGGUACAAAGGGCUGCAAUACCGUAAGGUGGAGCGAAUCCCAAAAAGCCGGUCUCAGUUCGGAUUGAGGUCUGCAACUCGACCUCAUGAAGUCGGAGUCGCUAGUAAUCGCAGAUCAGCA
rnacentral:rRNA from 1 species